ACGAACGCUGGCGGCGUGCUUAACACAUGCAAGUCGAACGCUGCAGCUCAGCUUGCUGGGUGGAUGAGUGGCGAACGGGUGAGUAACACGUGAGUAACCUGCCCUCUUCUUUGGGAUAACGCCCGGAAACGGGUGCUAAUACUGGAUAUUCACUGAUUCUCGCAUGGGGGUUGGUGGAAAGGUAUUUUCUGGUGGGGGAUGGGCUCGCGGCCUAUCAGCUUGUUGGUGGGGUGAUGGCCUACCAAGGCUUUGACGGGUAGCCGGCCUGGGAGGGUGACCGGUCACAUUGGGACUGGGAUACGGCCCAGACUCCUGCGGGAGGCAGCAGUGGGGAAUAUUGCACAAUGGGCGAAAGCCUGAUGCAGCGACGCCGCGUGAGGGAUGGAGGCCUUCGGGUUGUAAACCUCUUUCGCUCAUGGUCAAGCCGCAGCUUUGGGUUGUGGUGAGGGUAGUGGGUAAAGAAGCGCCGGCUAACUACGUG
rnacentral:rRNA from 1 species